GAUGAAGAACGCAGCGAAAUGCGAUAAGUAAUGUGAAUUGCAGAAUUCAGUGAAUCAUCGAAUCUUUGAACGCACAUUGCGCCCGCUAGUAUUCUGGCGGGCAUGCCUGUCCGAGCGUCAUUUCAACCCUCAAGCCCCCGGGCUUGGUGUUGGGGAUCGGCGAGCCUCCGCGCCCGCCGUCCCCUAAAUCUAGUGGCGGUCUCGCUGUAGCUUCCUCUGCGUAGUAGCACACCUCGCACUGGGAAACAGCGCGGCCACGCCGUUAAACCCCCAACUUCUGAACGUUUGACCUCGGAUCAGGUAGGAAUACCCGCUGUACUUAAGCAUAUCAAUAAGCGGAGGA
rnacentral:misc_RNA from 1 species